rnacentral:lncRNA from 7 species
CACGCAGUCACCGCCCUUCAUCACGCUCUUCACGGUCAUCACACAAAUGCCUUAUGACAAUAGGUAAAACAAGUAUCCCAUCCUCUAGUGAUGAUAGUGAUGGUGAAUGUGAUGAUGAGGGAAAACCCUCCUUAGAUGAAUUUACGCAUGACGUUAAUUUUUUUUGAGGAUAUCUGCACUAAACAAAAAGGUCAACUUAAAACUUUGAAAAAUAAGUUG